GAGCCUGCUUAGGCUGCAAGGGAAAGGGGCAGGGCUGGCUGUUCCCCAUCCCCUUCCUGUCUGGCUCUAUUUUCCAUGUCCCUGCUUACAAGGUUGGAGGUGUCUUCGUCUGCCCAGUCUCCCAUGCUUAGUAGACAGAGAUGUGCUUGCUCGAAGCUCUGGAGGCUGCAAGGCUGGGGUCAACGUUUCUGCAAGGUUCCUUUCUCCGGUGGCCUCUCGCUGUGGUGCUUUCUGAUUGCCCGUGGGAUGUGACUGGCCACUUCAUACUUGUGCUACCACAGAGGCAGGCCACCUCUGUCUCCUGCUUUCCUUCUCCUCUGUGGUGGAUUGUAUUCUCUCGACUGUGAGCCAGAAGCUGCUUUCCACAGUGGUGAAUGACGCAGGCAUUGCCAUGUGACCACGAGAUGCUAAUGACAAGCAAGGCAGACACAGACAUCCUUCUUGGGGCUUGCAGCUCAUGAGGUGUGCUGAACCAGAACCCUCCUGCUCUGUGACUUAGCAGACUGCCAUUCGAUAAGGAGGCCGUGCGCGUAUGAGUGUCGCAGAGACGGACAAGCUGGCUUGGGAACAAAACACACUUAUGUUUUAAAACUCUGUCUGGCUUUUUGGGGAGGGGGGUAGAGGGAGGAACAGAUUUGUUUGGGAGGGCCUGGAAUGUUCAGAUAAUAAAUCCCUUUAUCUCUUC